UUUAUGGAGAGUUUGAUCCUGGCUCAGGAUGAACGCUGGCGGCGUGCCUAAUACAUGCAAGUCGAGCGAACGGACGAGAAGCUUGCUUCUCUGAUGUUAGCGGCGGACGGGUGAGUAACACGUGGAUAACCUACCUAUAAGACUGGGAUAACUUCGGGAAACCGGAGCUAAUACCGGAUAAUAUUUUGAACCGCAUGGUUCAAAAGUAAAAGACGGUCUUGCUGUCACUUAUAGAUGGAUCCGCGCUGCAUUAGCUAGUUGGUAAGGUAACGGCUUACCAAGGCAACGAUGCAUAGCCGACCUGAGAGGGUGAUCGGCCACACUGGAACUGAGACACGGUCCAGACUCCUACGGGAGGCAGCAGUAGGGAAUCUUCCGCAAUGGGCGAAAGCCUGACGGAGCAACGCCGCGUGAGUGAUGAAGGUCUUCGGAUCGUAAAACUCUGUUAUUAGGGAAGAACAUAUGUGUAAGUAACUGUGCACAUCUUGACGGUACCUAAUCAGAAAGCCACGGCUAACUACGUGCCAGCAGCCGCGGUAAUACGUAGGUGGCAAGCGUUAUCCGGAAUUAUUGGGCGUAAAGCGCGCGUAGGCGGUUUUUUAAGUCUGAUGUGAAAGCCCACGGCUCAACCGUGGAGGGUCAUUGGAAACUGGAAAACUUGAGUGCAGAAGAGGAAAGUGGAAUUCCAUGUGUAGCGGUGAAAUGCGCAGAGAUAUGGAGGAACACCAGUGGCGAAGGCGACUUUCUGGUCUGUAACUGACGCUGAUGUGCGAAAGCGUGGGGAUCAAACAGGAUUAGAUACCCUGGUAGUCCACGCCGUAAACGAUGAGUGCUAAGUGUUAGGGGGUUUCCGCCCCUUAGUGCUGCAGCUAACGCAUUAAGCACUCCGCCUGGGGAGUACGACCGCAAGGUUGAAACUCAAAGGAAUUGACGGGGACCCGCACAAGCGGUGGAGCAUGUGGUUUAAUUCGAAGCAACGCGAAGAA
rnacentral:rRNA from 1 species